rnacentral:misc_RNA from 1 species
UCGAAACCUGCCCGACAGAACGACCCGCGAACAUGUUACAAGCACAUCGUGGGGCAGCUUGGCGCUUCGGCCCUCGCUGUCCAGCAAGGUGGUGUCGCGGCCGAACGCGCACGCCUACGGUUUCUGCCACCGCCACUAACAGAACCCCGGCGCGGACUGCGCCAAGGAACAAAAAACAAACGAGAGCGGGCGCCCUCCUCGCCCCGGGAAUGGUGCGCGAUGGUGGACGCCUCGCUGUCCAAUCAUAAACUAAACGACUCUCGGCAACGGAUAUCUCGGCUCUCACAUCGAUGAAGAACGUAACAAAAUGCGAUACUUGGUGUGAAUUGUAGAAUCCCAUGAAUCAUCGAGUCUUUGAACGCAAGUUGCGCCCGAAGCCUUUUGGCCGAGGGCACGUCUACCUGGGUGUCACGCAACGUCGCCGCCAGCACAUCCUUCCCUUAGGGGAUCGUGUGGUAGCUGGGGGCGGAUUCUGGCGAGGAUCGCCACGACAAGUGGUGGUUUUUUGAACUAAGGACCUCGGGUGUUGUCGUGCGGCCUCGCGGAGAGAAUGAACCUCGUGCGCUUGCGCACCCUCAUAACGAGACCCCAGGUC